rnacentral:rRNA from 1 species
UCCGUAGGUGAACCUGCGGAAGGAUCAUUACCGUCGGUAGUUUACUACCGUUUGAGGGGAGCGGAAACUUCUCGGGACCUCCUGGGGACGAGUACCUCCUUUUCUUAACCCUUGACUUUUUGCGCACUCUAGUUUCCUCGGCAGGCUUGCCUGCCGGUUGGACAAUUCUAUAACCUUUUUUAAUUUUCAAUCAGCGUCUGAAUAAUUAUAAUAAUUACAACUUUCAACAACGGAUCUCUUGGUUCUGGCAUCGAUGAAGAACGCAGCGAAAUGCGAUAAGUAGUGUGAAUUGCAGAAUUCAGUGAAUCAUCGAAUCUUUGAACGCACAUUGCGCCCCUUGGUAUUCCAUGGGGCAUGCCUGUUCGAGCGUCAUUUGUACUCUCAAGCCUUGCUUGGUGUUGGGUGUUUGUCUCGGCUAUGCCUAGACUCGCCUUAAAUUCAUUGGCAGCCUGUAUAUUGGUUUGAAGCGCAGCACAAUUUGCGCUUUGGGCUCAUACUUAUUGGCACCCAUAAGAUUUUUAUCACUUUUGACCUCGGAUCAGGUAGGGAUACCCGCUGAACUUAA